rnacentral:snRNA from 1 species
AAUCUGGGCUGAAUGCUUU